AGGUUCAGAUGCAGCAGUCUGGGGGAUUAGGGGAUGAAGCCUGUGUUCUCAGUGAAGAUGUCCUGUAAGGGUUCUGGCUACAGCUUUACCAACUACUAUAUGCCCUGGGUAAAAUAGUGGACUGGACACAACCUUGAGUGGAUUGGAUGGAUUCAUCCUGGAAAUGGUGAUACUUACUACAAUCAAAAGUUCAAGGGAAAGGCAACACUGACCAAGUACAAAUUCUCCAGCACAGCCUACUUACAUCACAACAGCCUGACAUCUGAGCACCCAGUAGUUUAUAAAUAUGCAAGA